GGGUUGUGAGGUUAAGCGACUAAGCGUACACGGUGGAUGCCCUGGCAGUCAGAGGCGAUGAAGGACGUGCUAAUCUGCGAUAAGCGUCGGUAAGGUGAUAUGAACCGUUAUAACCGGCGAUUUCCGAAUGGGGAAACCCAGUGUGUUUCGACACACUAUCAUUAACUGAAUCCAUAGGUUAAUGAGGCGAACCGGGGGAACUGAAACAUCUAAGUACCCCGAGGAAAAGAAAUCAACCGAGAUUCCCCCAGUAGCGGCGAGCGAACGGGGAGCAGCCCAGAGCCUGAAUCAGUGUGUGUGUUAGUGGAAGCGUCUGGAAAGGCGCGCGAUACAGGGUGACAGCCCCGUACACAAAAAUGCACAUGCUGUGAGCUCGAUGAGUAGGGCGGGACACGUGGUAUCCUGUCUGAAUAUGGGGGGACCAUCCUCCAAGGCUAAAUACUCCUGACUGACCGAUAGUGAACCAGUACCGUGAGGGAAAGGCGAAAAGAACCCCGGCGAGGGGAGUGAAAAAGAACCUGAAACCGUGUACGUACAAGCAGUGGGAGCACAGAGCAAUCUGUGUGACUGCGUACCUUUUGUAUAAUGGGUCAGCGACUUAUAUUCUGUAGCAAGGUUAACCGAAUAGGGGAGCCGAAGGGAAACCGAGUCUUAACUGGGCGUUAAGUUGCAGGGUAUAGACCCGAAACCCGGUGAUCUAGCCAUGGGCAGGUUGAAGGUUGGGUAACACUAACUGGAGGACCGAACCGACUAAUGUUGAAAAAUUAGCGGAUGACUUGUGGCUGGGGGUGAAAGGCCAAUCAAACCGGGAGAUAGCUGGUUCUCCCCGAAAGCUAUUUAGGUAGCGCCUCGUGAAUUCAUCUCCGGGGGUAGAGCACUGUUUCGGCAAGGGGGUCAUCCCGACUUACCAACCCGAUGCAAACUGCGAAUACCGGAGAAUGUUAUCACGGGAGACACACGGCGGGUGCUAACGUCCGUCGUGAAGAGGGAAACAACCCAGACCGCCAGCUAAGGUCCCAAAGUCAUGGUUAAGUGGGAAACGAUGUGGGAAGGCCCAGACAGCCAGGAUGUUGGCUUAGAAGCAGCCAUCAUUUAAAGAAAGCGUAAUAGCUCACUGGUCGAGUCGGCCUGCGCGGAAGAUGUAACGGGGCUAAACCAUGCACCGAAGCUGCGGCAGCGACGCUUAUGCGUUGUUGGGUAGGGGAGCGUUCUGUAAGCCUGCGAAGGUGUGCUGUGAGGCAUGCUGGAGGUAUCAGAAGUGCGAAUGCUGACAUAAGUAACGAUAAAGCGGGUGAAAAGCCCGCUCGCCGGAAGACCAAGGGUUCCUGUCCAACGUUAAUCGGGGCAGGGUGAGUCGACCCCUAAGGCGAGGCCGAAAGGCGUAGUCGAUGGGAAACAGGUUAAUAUUCCUGUACUUGGUGUUACUGCGAAGGGGGGACGGAGAAGGCUAUGUUGGCCGGGCGACGGUUGUCCCGGUUUAAGCGUGUAGGCUGGUUUUCCAGGCAAAUCCGGAAAACUAAGGCUGAGGCGUGAUGACGAGGCACUACGGUGCUGAAGCAACAAAUGCCCUGCUUCCAGGAAAAGCCUCUAAGCAUCAGGUAACAUCAAAUCGUACCCCAAACCGACACAGGUGGUCAGGUAGAGAAUACCAAGGCGCUUGAGAGAACUCGGGUGAAGGAACUAGGCAAAAUGGUGCCGUAACUUCGGGAGAAGGCACGCUGAUAUGUAGGUGAAGUCCCUCGCGGAUGGAGCUGAAAUCAGUCGAAGAUACCAGCUGGCUGCAACUGUUUAUUAAAAACACAGCACUGUGCAAACACGAAAGUGGACGUAUACGGUGUGACGCCUGCCCGGUGCCGGAAGGUUAAUUGAUGGGGUCAGCGCAAGCGAAGCUCUUGAUCGAAGCCCCGGUAAACGGCGGCCGUAACUAUAACGGUCCUAAGGUAGCGAAAUUCCUUGUCGGGUAAGUUCCGACCUGCACGAAUGGCGUAAUGAUGGCCAGGCUGUCUCCACCCGAGACUCAGUGAAAUUGAACUCGCUGUGAAGAUGCAGUGUACCCGCGGCAAGACGGAAAGACCCCGUGAACCUUUACUAUAGCUUGACACUGAACAUUGAGCCUUGAUGUGUAGGAUAGGUGGGAGGCUUAGAAGUGUGGACGCCAGUCUGCAUGGAGCCGACCUUGAAAUACCACCCUUUAAUGUUUGAUGUUCUAACGUGGACCCGUGAUCCGGGUUGCGGACAGUGUCUGGUGGGUAGUUUGACUGGGGCGGUCUCCUCCUAAAGAGUAACGGAGGAGCACGAAGGUUGGCUAAUCCUGGUCGGACAUCAGGAGGUUAGUGCAAUGGCAUAAGCCAGCUUGACUGCGAGCGUGACGGCGCGAGCAGGUGCGAAAGCAGGUCAUAGUGAUCCGGUGGUUCUGAAUGGAAGGGCCAUCGCUCAACGGAUAAAAGGUACUCCGGGGAUAACAGGCUGAUACCGCCCAAGAGUUCAUAUCGACGGCGGUGUUUGGCACCUCGAUGUCGGCUCAUCACAUCCUGGGGCUGAAGUAGGUCCCAAGGGUAUGGCUGUUCGCCAUUUAAAGUGGUACGCGAGCUGGGUUUAGAACGUCGUGAGACAGUUCGGUCCCUAUCUGCCGUGGGCGCUGGAGAACUGAGGGGGGCUGCUCCUAGUACGAGAGGACCGGAGUGGACGCAUCACUGGUGUUCGGGUUGUCAUGCCAAUGGCACUGCCCGGUAGCUAAAUGCGGAAGAGAUAAGUGCUGAAAGCAUCUAAGCACGAAACUUGCCCCGAGAUGAGUUCUCCCUGACUCCUUGAGAGUCCUGAAGGAACGUUGAAGACGACGACGUUGAUAGGCCGGGUGUGUAAGCGCAGCGAUGCGUUGAGCUAACCGGUACUAAUGAACCGUGAGGCUUAACCUUACAACGCCGAAG
rnacentral:rRNA from 1 species